rnacentral:rRNA from 1 species
ACGCUCGACACCUACGGGAUGCAGCAGUGAGGAAUAUUGGUCAGUGGGCGCUAGCCUGAACCAGCCAAGUAGCGUGAAGGAUGAAGGCUCUAUGGGUCGUAAACUUCUUUUAUAUAAGAAUAAAGUGCAGUAUGUAUACUGUUUUGUAUGUAUUAUAUGAAUAAGGAUCGGCUAACUCCGUGCCCGCAGCCGCGGUAAUCUGAGCGGGCUGGCAAGGC